rnacentral:rRNA from 1 species
UUAACCUGGGUUGAUCCUGCCAGUCGUGAUAUGCUUGUCUCAAAGAUUAAGCCAUGCAUGCGUAGGUCUAUGGCUCCCUUGGGAUGCCAGAGACUGCAGACGGCUCAUUAUCUCAGUGAGAAUCUACUUUGCGAACACUCGAACUGGAUAAUUGCGGGAAUUCUGCGACUAAUACAAUUCGCUCGCUGGGGUAUCCGGCUCUCGACCAACCGCCUUGUGCGUCUUGUGUUGAAUCACGGAUUCCCUUCGUCGAUUCUAUCGACACGCAAAAUGGAUUUCUGCCCUAUCAACUAGACGGUUGGCUCUGGGCCUACCGUGGUUACAACGGGUGACGGGGAAUGAGGGUUCGACCCCGGAGAGGGAGCCUGAGAGACGGCUACCACAUCUAAGGAAGGCAGCAGGCGCGCAAAUUACCCAAUUCCUACUUGGGAGAGGUAGUGACAAGAUAUAACAAUAUCGGGCUCUAAGAGUCUGGUAAUGCAAUGAGCAGUGCAUAGCCGAGCAC